CCUUGGAGAGGCAGAAGAAAUUCACAGUCCCCUUGUAAAAUCUCUCACUUGCCUUGCACUUAGGGGAUGUCAAAAGUGUUCUCUCUCUGCCAGCUCCUCACUUUCCAUACCCCCUUGAAUCUCACAUAUUUACCACCUUGUUUUUUCCUUCUUUUUUUCUUUACAAUUUUUCAACAGGGCCUUUAUUUUCAUCAAACGAGCAUUUUAAUGCGUAGUUCAAGAGAAAUUCAGUCCGUAUGUUUCAGAUUCAUUUACAGUUAAAUCAUCAGUAGUUUUGCAAUCACAAUUUGGCAGCCAGGAGAUCUUGGAGGCUUUUUUUUUUUUUUUUUUUAGGCCCUUUGACUUGGAGUCAAGAUGUGCUGUACAGUUUGGUGCUGAGUGCUCUGGACGCCCCAGCAGGGCCGGAGAAAAUCUGCAGAGGCAGCAGCAACUGACCCUAACAGAGCAAGAGGCCUGACCUUCACACCUAUGUAACCCAAGGUCACAGAAAUGCUGAGGGGCCAUGUGACUCCAGUGAAGCAGGAGUAUCCAUCCAGCCACAGAGAUGGGACCUGUCCAAAUGGGACCUGUCUGUUCCAAAGGUUAUUCUGCUUGUUCUGGAGACUGGGAAUUCCAAGAGCAUGAUACCAGCAUCUGGCGAGCGUUAUCCCCUGGUAGGAAGUAUCACAUGUGCUGGUUAAUUAACCAAUCAUAAAGAAAAGAUGAAAGUAUGUGAACCUCAAAUCCUUGUGUUCUGGAAAAAAAACAUACUCACAGAAUAAUGAAAAAAAAUUUCAACUAAUGAGAACCAGGAACAAUGACCACUGGAAAUAAUGAAAACAGUUGGAUCAAACAGCUACAAGUAAAGCACUUGGAAUGGUAGAGUGCUUCCCUCAAUGGAUGGAAGGAGACUGGAUCCCUCUGACACUGACUGGAAGAGCUCUGCUAAGCAAAGCUGCGAGCUCAUGAAAGACUGUGAGGAGAGUAAGAGGAGCUGGGAGAGGAGAUAAGAAAUGGGAUCAAAUAAUGAACAACAAGUUUCAAAGGGAUCAGAGUCCAAUAAAACCUGCCGCCUGAGCUCUUAAGAGAGAAAUGGAAAUCGUAGUUGUGAACAUCAGGCUUUCUAGAAGUGGCUGUACCAACAUCAGCCUUGAAAGAGCUCAAUCCAGCAGAUCCUGUCCCACUUGGAACCUGGCUAUGAGUGAGAAAACAUCUGUGGUUGGAAAAUGGGGCUGGUGAUUCAGGCCUGUUUGGGAAGAAGAUGCUCUUGAAUGCUUUGCUCAACAAACACCUCCCUUCUGCAAGGAGGUGAGAGGUCAUCUGUCUGUCUACUUUGACACUUUCACCCACUGAACUUCAGGGCUUAAGACACCUUCCCCAUAAAUUGGAGUGAGCGCGGCACAAACUGUCCCUGAAUUUGACCAUAACUGACUCACCAAAGGUCUGAGUAGGGGAGAAGGCAAAAACAGACAAACAGGCACUGAGGACUUUGCCAUCCCAGACCUGUGUCAUGUAAACAGGCUGUCUGCUUCACAGCCAAGGAAUGAGCCCUGGACGUGGGUCGGAACUGGAGCCUUAACAGCUAAUACCCAGAGCCUUUGACUGUGGACGACUGUGUUCAAAGGGGCAGGCUGCCCACUACUAGGGCAUGGAGGAGAGGCAGGAUGUGGGGAAAGAGUGUGGUUUUGGAAUCAGACACAACUGGUCCCCGCCACUUACUCAGCCUUGUGACCUCAGAUGAAAAAGUCUCUUAUUCUUACUAAGGCUCAGUUUCCCCAACUGUGAAACUGACAUAACACUAUGGACUUCAAAAGGCUUUACAAGCAAAACAAUUUAUAAAACAAUUUAUUCAACAAUUUAUUCAGGCACUUAGCACAGUGCUAGCACAUAGAUAUAAGUAACAGUUUUUUUUCUCUGUUCCUUCUACGUGGAGGAGAGGCAUCUGUUGUCUCUUCAAGUUAAUUAAUUUGAAAAUAUCCAGUAGCAACCAUUUCUUAAAUUCCUCUUACGAGCCAUUUAGUUUUGCAACAACUGCAAGAUAGACAGUAUUAUUCCCAUUUUACAGAUAUGGACAUUGAAGCUCAGGAGGUACACCGGAUAUAGUGACUUUGAUCUUCUCAUUGCCCUGACACUGAUGAGAGAGAGAUAACAAAAUCAAAAAGAACAGUUGGAGGAAUAAAUGUCAAAUAUAGGAGGCUGGAAGCAUAGUCUCUAACCUCAGUCUAGCCUCGGAUAAUAGCAUUUUCAUCUUGCUACAGCAGUAGCAGACACCAGCUGGGUGCCUUCUCCCUAUUUUAUUCAUUUGUAUGUUCAUUGAGCAAUUUAUCUAUUGCUAAUUCCUUAGCAAGCAUUUACUGUGACCUUCCUUUUAUUAUUACUAUUAUUAUUAUUCAUUUUAGAGACAGGGCUAUGCCAUUAUGUUGCCUACGCUGGAGGGCAGUGGUU
rnacentral:lncRNA from 1 species